rnacentral:rRNA from 1 species
AGAGUUUGAUCAUGGCUCAGGAUGAACGCUAGCGGCAGGCUUAACACAUGCAAGUCGAGGGGCAGCACAGGGAGCAAUCCUGGGUGGCGACCGGCGGAAGGGUGCGUAACGCGUGAGCAACUUGCCCGUAUCUGGGAGAUAACCGAUGGAAACGUCGACUAAUAUCCCAUAACACAUUUUGUGGCAUCGCAGGAUGUUAAAAGAGAAUCGGAUACGGAUAGGCUCGCGUGACAUUAGCUAGUUGGAGUGGUAACGGCACACCAAGGCGACGAUGUCUAGGGGUUCUGAGAGGAAGGUCCCCCACACUGGAACUGAGACACGGUCCAGACUCCUACGGGAGGCAGCAGUGAGGAAUAUUGGUCAAUGGGCGAAAGCCUGAACCAGCCAUGCCGCGUGAAGGAAUAAGGCCCUAUGGGUCGUAAACUUCUUUUGACGGGGAGCAAUAAGGUCUACGUGUAGGCCGAUGAGAGUACUCGUCGAAUAAGCAUCGGCUAACUCCGUGCCAGCAGCCGCGGUAAUACGGAGGAUGCGAGCGUUAUCCGGAAUUAUUGGGUUUAAAGGGUGCGUAGGCUGUUUGUUAAGUCAGGGGUGAAAUACCGCAGCUCAACUGUGGAAUUGCCUUUGAUACUAGCAGGCUUGAAUACUGUUGCCGUGGGAGGAAUGAGUAGUGUAGCGGUGAAAUGCAUAGAUAUUACUCAGAACACCGAUUGCGAAGGCAUCUCACGAAGCAGGCAUUGACGCUGAGGCACGAAAGCGUGGGGAUCAAACAGGAUUAGAUACCCUGGUAGUCUACGCCGUAAACGAUGAUUACUAGGUGUCGGGGGUUAUGAACCUUCGGUGCCGCAGCAAACGCAAUAAGUAAUCCACCUGGGGAGUACGUUCGCAAGAAUGAAACUCAAAGGAAUUGACGGGGACCCGCACAAGCGGUGGAGCAUGUGGUUUAAUUCGAAGCAACGCGAAGAACCUUACCAAAUCUUGACAUCUCCCUGACAGAGUAUGUAAUGUACUUUCUCUUCGGAGCAGGGAUGACAGGUGGUGCAUGGUUGUCGUCAGCUCGUGUCGUGAGAUGUUGGCUUAAGUGCCAUAACGAGCGCAACCCUUGUCGUUAGUUACCAUCAAGUAAAGUUGGGGACUCUAACGAGACUGCCACCGCAAGGUGAGAGGAAGGCGGGGAUGACGUCAAAUCAGCACGGCCCUUACGUCCGGGGCGACACACGUGUUACAAUGGCGGUCACAGAGGGAAGCUACCCUGCGAAGGGAUGCAGAUCUCGAAAAGCCGUCUCAGUUCGGACUGGAGUCUGCAACUCGACUCCACGAAGCUGGAUUCGCUAGUAGUCGCGCAUCAGCCAUGGCGCGGUGAAUACGUUCCCGGGCCUUGUACUCACCGCCCGU